GUUUGACUGGGGCGGUCUCCUCCUAAAGAGUAACGGAGGAGUACGAAGGUGCGCUCAGACCGGUCGGAAAUCGGUCGCAGAGUAUAAAGGCAAAAGCGCGCUUGACUGCGAGACAGACACGUCGAGCAGGUACGAAAGUAGGUCUUAGUGAUCCGGUGGUUCUGUAUGGAAGGGCCAUCGCUCAACGGAUAAAAGGUACUCCGGGGAUAACAGGCUGAUACCGCCCAAGAGUUCAUAUCGACGGCGGUGUUUGGCACCUCGAUGUCGGCUCAUCACAUCCUGGGGCUGAAGCCGGUCCCAAGGGUAUGGCUGUUCGCCAUUUAAAGUGGUACGCGAGCUGGGUUUAGAACGUCGUGAGACAGUUCGGUCCCUAUCUGCCGUGGACGUUUGAGAUUUGAGAGGGGCUGCUCCUAGUACGAGAGGACCGGAGUGGACGAACCUCUGGUGUUCCGGUUGUCACGCCAGUGGCAUUGCCGGGUAGCUAUGUUCGGAAAAGAUAACCGCUGAAAGCAUCUAAGCGGGAAACUUGCCUCAAGAUGAGAUCUCACUGGGAACUUGAUUCCCCUGAAGGGCCGUCGAAGACUACGACGUUGAUAGGCUGGGUGUGUAAGCGUUGUGAGGCGUUGAGCUAACCAGUACUAAUUGCCCGUGAGGCUUGACCAU
rnacentral:rRNA from 1 species